ACUCCUACGGGAGGCAGCAGUGGGGAAUAUUGCACAAUGGGGGCAACCCUGAUCCAGCCAUGCCGCGUGUGUGAAGAAGGCCUUAGGGUUGUAAAGCACUUUCAGUUGGGAGGAAAAGUUUAAUCCUAAUACCUUCGCGUGUUUUCGUUACCUUUAGAAGAAGCACCGGCUAACUCCGUGCCAGCAGCCGCGGUAAUACGGAGGGUGCAAGCGUUAAUCGGAAUUACUGGGCGUAAAGCGCGCGUAGGCGGUUUGUUAAGUUGGAUGUGAAAGCCCCGGGCUCAACCCAGGAAUUGCACCUCAAACUCACAUACUAGAGUCCGAUAGAGGGAGGUGGAAUUUCCGGUGUAGCGGUGGAAUGCGUAGAUAUAUGGAAGAACACCGGUGGCGAAGGCGGCCUUCUGGACCACUACCGACAUUGAGGUGCGAAAGCGUGGGUAGCAAACAGGAUUAGAUACCCUGGUAGUUCACCCGAUGUCGCUACACGUUGAAUUCUCUUAGCUCCUUCAGUACUGAAGCUAACGCAUUAAGUUGUCCGCCUGGGGAGUACGGCCGCAAGGUUAAAACUCAAAUGAAUUGACGG
rnacentral:rRNA from 1 species